CGAACAGCAAAAUCUUACACAUUUUACAAAAUAUGUGUGGGGRUGGGUCUGGAAUAUAUUUGUAUAUCUAUUCGGGUUGCCGCUAGAGGGAGCUGGUAACUGAUACCCARGAGGUUCAUUGAUAAGGUGGUGUUACUUGAUCAUGUAUCAUGGUACCGCUAGAGGGUAAUGUUUCUAACAAUAUCUCAUAUCAAUAUCUACCCUCACAGGGUAUUGUCUGUGUGUCACCAUGGACCUGCCCAUUUAUAGGGGUAAAAAGCAUUACGCUACAUAUGGCGAAAAAUGUUCAAUCCCGUGUCGUGUGACCAGUGUCACACGGAUGACAAUAAACGACCAAGAAAGCUCUUUCUUGGGAGAGGAUUACAUAUUUUCGUCGAGAUUGAAAUCUCUAGCAAUCAAGAAUCCCACCUGCCAGACCACCGGGAUUUAUCGUUUAGACGACUGCACGGUGGACCUCAAAGUGACGUAUAGGACAAUCAAGGUGAAAUUGCCAAGUGUCACCGCUGGGAUCGUGCCAGCGAUGAAUAUCGAGAUAAAGUUAGACAACGUGAAUAGCGUACAAAGUCGGGGUUACGAGCUGUGAGGUCGGAUA